AAUGAACGCAAGCAGUUGGUCUUACACAUGCAAGUUAAAUGUUCGAAAGAACAUAGCACACGGGUGAGUAAAAAAGAGGUAACAUACUUAACAAAUGGGAAUAAUAAAUAAUACCCAAUAAAUUCUGUUAGUUGAUGAGAAAUUAAAGAGAAAAAUCGUUGUUAAACUGGCUUCUUUAAGAUUAGGUAGUUGGUAGUGUAAUAGACUACAAAGCCAAAGAUCUUUAGCUGAUUUUAAUGGAUGAUCAGCCACAAGGGGAUUGAAAGAAGGCCCUUAUACGUUAAGUAGCAGCAGUGGAGAAUCUUAGACAAUGGACGAAAGUCUGAUCUAGCCAAACUGCGUGAAAGAGAUGAAAGUUUCUUUCUUUCGUUAGUGAAGAUAAUGACAGUAACUAAAAAAGAAGCUCCGGCUAAUCUCGUGCCAGCCGCCGCCGUAACAC
rnacentral:rRNA from 1 species